ensembl:lncRNA
UGCAGUGCAUUAAAAAACAGUCUGUGCUUUGUUCAUACUGUCAUUCUUCUGUCUUUUAACUGUUGGCUGAAUGUAAAGACAAGUGAAAUUAUUUUAUUCAGAGGAUAUCCCAGUGAGGAAUAUCAGGUGGUGACAGAUGAUGGAUAUUACCUAGGUAUUAAUAGAAUUCCUUAUGGGAAAAUAAGUCAGAAAACCAAGGAACCGAGACCAGCUGUGUUUCUGCAACAUGGCUUACUUGCUGAUGGCAGUACCUGGGUGACCAACCUAGACUACAACAGCCUGGGUUUCGUGCUAGCUGAUGCUGGUUUUGAUGUUUGGUUAGGGAACAGCAGAGGAAACACCUGGUCCCGAAAACACAUCAACUAUACCACAAAGCAAAAAGAAUUCUGGAUGUUCAGUUUUGAUGAAAUGGCUAAGUAUGACCUUCCUGCUUCAAUAAAUUUUGUCUUGAACAAAACUGGUCAGGAGCAACUCUUCUACGUUGGUCAUUCUCAAGGCACCACCAUAGGUUUCAUAGCAUUUUCAAUUUUUCCAGAGUUGGCAAAAAAGAUAAAAAUAUUUUUCGGAUUGGCGCCUGCUAUGACUGGUCACUUUUCAUCCGGUGGUUUGGCCAAACUUGGAGAGCUUCCUGAUUUUCUACUUAAAAAAAUAUUUGGAACCAAGCAGUUUUUACCCCAGAAUGCGCUUAUAAAAUGGCUUGCUACCCACGUGUGCGACCGUGCUUUACUUGAUGAUCUUUGUGGCAACUUUUUCUUUCUCCUGUGUGGAUUUAAUGAGAAAAACCUAAACAUGGUAAGACCAAUAGAAGUAUAUUCAACACACUGCCCAGCUGGAACAUCUGCCCAGAAUAUGCUUCAUUGGAGUCAGGUUAAAAAGUCUGGGGAAGUCAGAGCAUAUGACUGGGGAAGCAAAAAGGAAAAUAUGGCUCAUUAUAAACAGCCAACACCACCUCGCUACAAAAUGAAAGAAAUGCUUGUUCCAACAGCUAUAUGGACGGGUGGCCAUGACUGGCUGUCAGACCCAAAGGACGUUGCCAUCUUAAUGACUAUGAUCCCAAAUUUGAUAUACCACAAGGAGAUCCCAGACUGGGAACAUCUGGAUUUUAUCUGGGGCCUUGAUGCCCCACAGCGCAUGUUCAGAGAUAUGAUUCAGAUGAUGCGGAAAGUUCAAUAUACCCAUUAAUUGCUUGAAGUUGUAAUCCCAAAACACUGAUGCAGUUGUGAAAAGAAAGUCUUGCUUUUUUACCUACGUAUAGUAGUAUUCCAACACAAGCCUUCUUGCAAUACCUUAAGAAAUGGAAACUUUGCACUUGUCAUAUAGGUAUUUUUUAAUUCAUGCAGUUUUAAUGGAAAGGUAGAAAAUAGGUAAUGAAUGAAACCAAACCCCUGGCACUGCUGUUGCUCUUGCACUAUUCAGAUAAUUUUUGAAAUGAGGAGAAGGAGGGAAUGACAAUUUAUUGAACCUUUGUAAUAUCGAUACUGAGGUUGUGAAAGCUAUUUAAUAAUGAGUGUCCGUGUGUGAUUUUAUUUUGCUUAUUUUGUUGGAACAAAUUCCUUUCAAAGUGUCGGGCUCCGAACGCAACAAUAUUAACCUUGGAGCCCGCCAGCAUUGCUGACAACGAGAUCCGAUCUUCCGUGCUGUGCUGCGCCAUGACAUCAGCUGAGAGGCGGCAAACACAUAGGGAAUCCCCAAGAGGAGAUGACAUUGACAUUGUAACAACAGGGAUUCCCUGUUCAGCGAUCGGCAGCACCAGGCACUUUGGGGUUGAUUCGGCUCGUGAAAGAGAGCAUUCCUCUCACACAAACAAGGGGUGGAGAGCUGGGGAUUAGAGAGGGGUCAGAGCUAGAAAGGAUUAGAGCUGAGUAGGAAGGAUAGGGAUAGGCUCAUAUAUAAUAGUAGACAAGGGGGCUAAUUAAGGUAAUUAGAAUGGGGCAGAAUGCAGGAAGUAGCCUCGAUUAGGUUGGUGUGGUUGCACAAUAAACAGCGCUGGAAGGCAGACGUUCCCA